AUUGCCUCCCAGGAUGUGGUAGAAAACAAGACUUAUAUGUAUGAUGAGGUAUCUGUGGUGGUCAGAUCUAAAGACUCUAGGUUGAACCAUAAACUGACCAUCCCGGAAUUUGUCUUAGCCUUUGGUAUAUUCAGAGAUGUUAUGUGUGAAGUGUACCCUAAUAGAAGAGAGGAAUUUGAUCGUUACAUGCACAAGCUGGUGGACCUGGG